rnacentral:rRNA from 1 species
AUUGAACGCUGGCGGCAGGCCUAACACAUGCAAGUCGAACGAGUGGCGGACGGGUGAGAUAUGUCUGUGAACCUGCCUGAUGGAGGGGGAUAACUACUGGAAACGGUAGCUAAUCCCGCAACCCAUCGUAUGUGCACAUAUGGGCUUAGCUGGUAGGUGGGGUAAAGGCUCCCAUAGGCGACGAUCCCUAGCUGGUCUGAGAGGAUGACCAGCCACACGGGAACUGAGACACUGUCCAGAAUCCUACGGGAGGCAGCAGUGGGGAAUAUUGCACAAUGGGCGCAAGCGUGAUGCAGCCAUGCCGCGUGUAUGAAGAAGGCCUUCGGGUUGUAAAGUACUUUCAGCGGGGAGGCGUUACCCGCAGAAGAAGCACCGGCUAACUCCGUGCCAGCAGCCGCGGUAAUAC